GUGCAGCCGCCGCGGUUAUACCGGCAGCCCGAGUGGUGGCCGCUCUUCUUGGGCCUCAAGCGUCCGUAGCUGGGUCUGACAGUCCAUCGGGAAAUCCACUCGCUCAACGAGUGGCCGUCCGGUGGAAACUCCACACCUUGGGACCGGAAGGCUCGAAGGGUACGGCCGGGGUAGGAGUGAAAUCCUGUAAUCCCGUCCGGACCACCGAUGGCGAAAGCACUUCGAGAAAACGGAUCCGACAGUGAGGGACGAAAGCUAAGAUCGCGAACCGGAUUAGAAACCCUAGUAGUCC
rnacentral:rRNA from 1 species